UACGGGGGGGGGCAAGCGUUGUUCGGAAUUACUGGGCGUAAAGGGCUCGUAGGCGGCCAACUAAGUCAUACGUGAAAUCCCUCGGCUUAACCGGGGAACUGCGUCUGAUACUGGAUGGCUUGAGAUUGGGAGAGGGAUGCGGAAUUCCAGGUGUAGCGGUGAAAUGCGUAGAUAUCUGGAGGAACACCGGUGGCGAAGGCGGCAUCCUGGACCAACACGUGACGCUGAGGAGCGAAAGCCAGGGGAGCAAACGGG
rnacentral:rRNA from 1 species